CCAGACUCCUACGGGAGGCAGCAGUGGGGGAUAUUGCACAAUGGGGGGAACCCUGAUGCAGCGACGCCGCGUGGGCGAUGGAGUGCUUCGGCAUGUAAAGCCCUAUCAGCAGGGAAGAAAAUGACGGUACCUGACUAAGAAGCCCCGGCUAAAUACGUGCCAGCAGCCGCGGUAAUACGUAUGGGGCAAGCGUUAUCCGGAUUUACUGGGUGUAAAGGGCGUGUAGGCGGGAGAGCAAGUCAGACGUGAAAUUCCAGGGCUCAACCCUGGAACUGCGUUUGAAACUGUUCUUCUUGAGUGAUGGAGAGGCAGGCGGAAUUCCGUGUGUAGCGGUGAAAUGCGUAGAUAUACGGAGGAACACCAGUGGCGAAGGCGGCCUACUGGACGGUGACUGACGCUGAGGCUCGAAAGCGUGGGGAGCAAACAGGAUUAGAUACCCUAGUAAC
rnacentral:rRNA from 1 species